AUUGAACGCUGGCGGAAUGCUUUACACAUGCAAGUCGAACGGCAGCACGGGUGCUUGCACCUGGUGGCGAGUGGCGAACGGGUGAGUAAUGCGUCGGAACGUGCCGAGUAAUGGGGGAUAACGCAGCGAAAGUUGUGCUAAUACCGCAUACGCCCUGAGGGGGAAAGUGGGGGAUCGCAAGACCUCACGUUAUUCGAGCGGCCGACGUCUGAUUAGCUAGUUGGUGGGGUAAAGGCCUACCAAGGCGACGAUCAGUAGCGGGUCUGAGAGGAUGAUCCGCCACACUGGGACUGAGACACGGCCCAGACUCCUACGGGAGGCAGCAGUGGGGAAUUUUGGACAAUGGGGGCAACCCUGACCCAGCCAUUCCGCGUGAGUGAAGAAGGCCUC
rnacentral:rRNA from 1 species